rnacentral:rRNA from 1 species
GAAGAACCUUACCAGGGCUUGACAUCCCAGUACAGAAGCAGAGAUGCAUUAGGUGCCCUUCGGGGAAACAGGAGACAGGUGGUGCAUGGUUGUUGUCAGCUCGUGUCGUGAGAUGUUGGGUUAAGUCCCGCAACGAGCGCAACCCCUAUUGUUAGUUGCUACGCAAGAGCACUCUAGUGAGACUGCCGUUGUCAAAACGGAGGAAGGUGGGGACGACGUCAAAUCAUCAUGCCCCUUA